GAAUUAGAAUUGGUUCCUCAAAACCAGGAGGGACCAAUACAAGAUGGGUGAUGCAACACAGGAGCACCAUGAAGCAAGCCAUUUGCCCUGCUUCUUGAGCCAGAGUUGUGGCACUCGGCCUGGGCACAGACCUGACUACCUCCACAAUGAAGAGGCACUUGAGCACAAUGUCUGCAAACUCAACCACCUUCUCAUUGCUACGCUUCCUGAAUCCUGAAUAAAGGAGAAAAACAAGUGGUGACACAAUCCUACAGGAUUGCUCGCUCUGAAGGCUAAGAUAAACUUGGCCCACGUUACAUCAUCCAUCCUUUGGGUAUACUGCAGAAAUCACUCCAGCUCUCUUCAGCACCCUGGGCAGCACGUGGACUUCUAAUUGUAGGUUGCUGGCUCCUGACACUGCCAUGCCUUAAUUCUGCCAGCCCCAUGAGAAGAUUAUGCUCGUGAGAUGCUGACCCCUUCCUGCUGGUGCCCUGCCUGAAGAUCUCCUGGCCCUCGUGUUCACUGCCAGGCCCACGGAGUUCGAGAGGCUCUGGGAGGUGUCUUGGACAAGCCCAUUGUUUGGGCUGUGACACCAUGCUGCCAAUUAAUCUUAAUUAAUUAAUAAAUCACAGCUAGCAUUUACUGUUGUGAGUAAGCUCAACUGUUCACAAUAGGUAGUUGCACUGCCAGCCCCAAUAAUCAGGUGGCAGAUUCACCAAAAUCAAGAGCUCAUUGUAAGGAUGAUGAUAUUUUAUGGGAAAGAUGAGUAAUGAAUGGGUGUUUGUGUGCAUUUCUGCUUUGUCUCCUUGACUGUUUAAAUUUCCUUACUAAUUUUUGUUUUCAAAUUGCAGGCCCCCAAGAAUCAUGUUUACAAGAAAUGAAAUAUUAAUAUAUUUAGAAGAGAAAAAUCGAUUUGAUCUGUACAAACUAUCGUGACUGCAAGGGCUGGGUUUUUUCAGAAUACCAAGCAAUGCCAUGAAAGUCCCUCCAAAGUUGGAAGCAGCCAUAGUGAGCUGGCACACGAGUGGUCCUGAGCUCGCACACAGCACCGCGAGGGAUCUGUUCCCCAGCAGAAGAAGCGAAGGGAGGAGGACAAAGAUUACAGUGUUAAGAUCAUGCUGUUGCUAUGCUGCCUACCCGCCCGUCAGUGCAUUUCUUCGCCAUCCUCCCACGGACACUUGUCUGACUCCUGCCCCUGCAGCUGGUGCGUGCCAGGCGUCUCCUGACCUGGGCUGGCUUUCUCCUGCAGUUCUCCUGCAGGUGGAGAGGAAAUGCAUUGGCAUUUCCUGCAACAGCCUUCUUGAGGUUGGAGGUAUUAAAUCACAGAAACUUUUUGAGGGAUCGUGGUGA
ensembl:lncRNA